rnacentral:lncRNA from 1 species
AUACCAUCAUCAUUCAGAUGUGCAUCAUAUUCCUCAAAAAGGACCCAAUUGAUGUGAGUUUCCCCCUCCUCGUGCUGGACCCCAGGAUGAAAGCACCAAAAUUUUGUGUUUCCAUCUCUCCAAGGCUUUCCCUGCCCUCACCACCACCCCAAAGCCAACCCUCCAUCACCAAAUCCAUCCAUCACUAAAUCCAUACGUCCAUCAUCAAAUCCACUCAUCCCAAAUCCAUCCAUCCCAAAAUCCAUCCCUCCUACAUCUGUCCCUCCAUAACCAAAUCUAUCCAUCCAUUGCCAAAUCAAUCCAUUCAUCACCAAGUCCAUCCAUCACAAACCCAUCUAUCCAUUGCCAAAUCAAUCCAUUCAUCACCAAGUCCAUCCAUCACAAAUCUAUCCAUCCAUCCUCAGUCCAUCUCUCCAUCAUUAAAUCCAUCAAUCACCAAAUCCAUCCCAAAUCCAUCCAUCCAUCACCAAAUCCAUCCAUCACCAAGUCUAUCCAUCCCAAAUCCAUCCAUCCAUCCCAAACCCAUCCAUCCAUCCAUCCCAAAUCCAUCCAUCCAUCACCAAAUCCAUCCAUCACCAAGUCUAUCCAUCCCAAAUCCAUCCAUCCAUCCAUCCCAAAUCCAUCCAUCCAUCACCAAAUCCAUCCAUCACCAAGUCUAUCCAUCCCAAAUCCAUCCAUUCAUCCCAAAUCCAUCCAUCCAUCACCAAAUCCAUCCAUCACCAAGUCUAUCCAUCCCAAAACCAUCCACCCAUCAUCAAAUUCAUCAAUCCAUCGCCAAAUCCGUCUUUUUGCCAAACCCAUCCCUCCAUCACCAAAUCCAUCCAUCCGUUAGGGUUGUGCAAUGGGAAAAUGGCAAAAAAUAACACAUCCCCUCCCAUCCCGUGGUGCUCUCUCCGCCUUCUCCCAUAUUGGCACUACACAUAAUUGCUCAAAACACAUAAAGCAAAGCAAAAAUGUGCUAGUGCCAAAGCGGGCCGGGCGGCACGGCGGCCCCGCGGGGCUCGCGGGUCUUUCUCUGCUCUGUUUAUGGCCCUAUGGUAAUUCACUGACCGCGGGGUUGCACAGUGAAUU